UACGUAGGCAGCGAGCGUUGUUCGGAGUUACUGGGCGUAAAGGGUGUGUAGGCGGUUCUUUAAGUUUGGUGUGAAAUCUCCCGGCUCAACCGGGAGGGUGCGCCGAAAACUGGGGGACUAGAGUGCGGGAUGGGAGAGUAGAAUUCCUGGUGUAGCGGUGAAAUGCGUAGAUAUCAGGAGGAAUACCGGUGGUGUAGAAGGCUCUCUGGACCGCCACUGACGCUGAGACACGAAAAGCGUGGGUAGCAAACAGG
rnacentral:rRNA from 1 species